rnacentral:rRNA from 1 species
UACGUAGGGCGCAAGCGUUUGUCCGGAAUUAUUGGGCGUAAAGAGCUCGUAGGCGGUUUGUCGCGUCUGCUGUGAAAACCUAAGGCUCAACCUCGGGCCUGCAGUCGAUACGGGCAAACUAGAGUUCGGUAGGGGAGACUGGAAUUCCUGGUGUAGCGGUGGAAUGCGCAGAGUAAUCAGGAGGAACACCGGUGGCGAAGGCGGGUCUCUGGGCCGAAACUGACGCUGAGGAGCGAAAGCGUGGGGAGCGAACAGG